rnacentral:rRNA from 1 species
AAUCAACGCUGGCGGCGUGCCUCAGACAUGCAAGUCGAACGCGAAAGGUUCCUUCGGGAACCGAGUAGAGUGGCGCACGGGUGAGUAACACGUAGGUAAUUUGCCUUUGGGUGGGGAAUAACUCAGGGAAACUUGAGCUAAUACCGCAUAAUGCAGCGGCUCGACAUCGAGACAGUUGUUAAAGCGGGGGAUCGCAAGACCUCGCGCCUAAAGGGAAGCCUGCGGCAGAUAGCUAGUUGGUAGGUAAUGGCCUACCAAGGCAACGAUCUGUAACCGGCCUGAGAGGGCGGUCGGUCACACUGACACUGACAUACGGGUCAGACUCCUACGGGAGGCAGCAGUCGGGAAUUUUGGGCAAUGGGCGAAAGCCUGACCCAGCAACGCCGCGUGAAGGAUGAAGGUCUCUGGAUUGUAAACUUC